UCAGCCUCCCAAAGUGCUGGAAUUACAGGCAUGAGCCACCGCACCCAGCUGGAAUACAUAUGUCUUACAGAGUGUCCAACAUAUGGCCACUUCUUGUCUAUCAUGCCCUAUCAACAUGAUGUCACCAAUGUAAUGGAUCAAUGUGUUGUUUUGAGAGAUACAUGAAAAUUCAGAUCUCUUCAGACUACAGUAUGCAGAAGAUGAGAGUUAAUAGUCUACAGGAAAACUAGGAGACUGGAAAGGUCUAUGCCAACUCCAGCAAGGUGUGGGUCCAGGAAUACAUCAGCAACUGGAAUUAAACCCCGGCAAGGUCUGGACCCAGCAAGAAAAGUGCUAGAGAUGUGAACAGAUUGGGCACAGGGACCCAAAACAGGCAAAAGUCUCUGCAACCUCAGAAACUGAUUCCAGAUCUGGGGGUCUAACUUCAUUUUAAAUGAAGAAGGUGCCAGAGGCUUACUGUUUGCUUAAACUCACAGAAGGCCCUAUGCAUCUUGUUUGCAGCUGAAUCUCCAGUGCUCUGCUCAUGGCUAGAAUGGGGAUAAUUCCCAAAGAUACGAAGAAAUCGAAGCCCAAGAUGGGUGGCUUCUCAGUCCCUUGACUUGGAUGAAGUCCUCUCUAUCAGCUGAGAAAACACAUGGUAGAGAUUGAUGAUCUUUGCAGAUUCUUGGGAGGCAGACAGGUUGUGGAAUAUUGAAGAUGAGAAAAUAGCACCCAGCUUUCCAAAAAAGGAGGGAGAAAGAAAAUAGACGAUAGACUCCAUCAACUUCAGAGUGGUCAGCUGCCUCUAGACUAGUCAAGAUUCUACAUAUACCUAUACAAUUCUUUUUUUUUUUUUUUUUUUGAA
rnacentral:lncRNA from 1 species